rnacentral:rRNA from 1 species
GAUGAACGCUGGCGGCGUGCUUAACACAUGCAAGUCGAACGGAAAGGCCCAAGCUUGCUUGGGUACUCGAGUGGCGAACGGGUGAGUAACACGUGGGUGAUCUGCCCUGCACUUCGGGAGAAGCCUUGGAAACUGGGGCUAAUACCGGAUAGGACCACAUUUUGGAUGGUGUGGUGGAAAGUUUUUCGGUGUGGGAUGAGCUCGCGGCCUAUCAGCUUGUUGGUGGGGUAAUGGCCUACCAAGGCGUCGACGGGUAGCCGGCCUGGGAGGGUGAACGGCCACAUUGGGACUGAGAUGAGGCCCAGGCUCCGACGGGGGGCAGAAGUGGGGAAGAUUGCACAAGGGGCGCAAGCCUGAUGAAGAGACGCCGCGGGGGGGAUGACGGCCUUGGCGUUGGAAAAUCAAUUCGCUAGGGACGAAGCGUUAUGUGACGGUACCUGGAGAAGAAGCACCGGCUAACUACGUG